rnacentral:ncRNA from 2 species
GAGGGUAACAAAGCGCCAGGACCACCAGCGGAUUGGUCCGGCCUCCUGAGGAGGGGCAGGAUGCGGCCCUCGGUUGUCGCCAGGGCGCAACCUGCCGGGUCGGUUUUGACCCGGCAAAGCCCCUCGGGGUGCUAGACGGUCUCGGUGGUUGACGAGGAAGGGGUUUAUCGAGGUUUUCGGCGGGUGCCCCUCGGUUGGUUACGACCGUCAAAGGCGCUACAAAACCCGGGAGCAAUCCCGGGGACAAAGGGCGCCGGGUAACACCU